AAACGACUCUCGGCAACGGAUAUCUCGGCUCUCGCAUCGAUGAAGAACGUAGCGAAAUGCGAUACUUGGUGUGAAUUGCAGAAUCCCGUGAACCAUCGAGUUUUUGAACGCAAGUUGCGCCCGAAGCCACCAGGCCGAGGGCACGCCUGCCUGGGCGUCACG
rnacentral:rRNA from 2 species